ensembl:lncRNA
UCCAUGCACCCCACCUCGCCAGCUGACAUGUGAGUUCCAUGUACUGCCCUGCAUAUGACUUUAUCCAUUUAUCUACACAUCUGGAACUACGCAGAAAGAGACUAAGACAGUGUUCUCUGUGAGCACAUUGCACAUCGUUUAGCGUUGUCUUCUCCUUUUUGUUGAUUUCAGCGAUCCUAAGGUCCACAGCAUCGUGGAGAGAGCUGUGAGGAGCAUUCUGGGCGAGCAGUCCAAAGAGCCCAGUAGCAACCUGCUCAGCCCAUCUCAGGUGGUGGUGGAGGUGGUGCCCAGGCUCCUCCUGGCCCUGUGGCUUCAGCCAGAGGAAGGCCAUUCAGAGCACCCAAUCCUAAUAGGUGGGAUGGCCGUGGGCAUGGUGGCGGCCGUAGUGGAGAAGCUCUCCUGCAUGUUAAAGGACCCUUCCCCUCACAUCCCUUUCUCCCGGGCUGCUGCUUUUGACUCUGUGUGGUCGAUCCUCGGGAGAAUCAGUCAGUCCUUCUCCACCGAUGACCUGCAGAGCCCUUUUUAUACGAGCUCUGUUUGUGCCUUUGUGGCGGACGAGGUGCAGAGCUGCUUCCAGCCCCCUGCAGCCACCCUACCAGUCCCCCCUGUCCUCGCGGUGGCCGCUUCCACCACACUACCAGCUGACAUCCAAGCAGACCCGGCUUCUUCCCACCUCGAGGUUGUAGACAUCACCCCUAAGACAGAGGCAUAUCAGGCUUCUUCCCACCUGGAGGUUGUGGACAUCACCCCUAAGACAGAGGCAUAUCAGGCUUCUUCCCACCUGGAGGUUGUGGACAUCACCCGUAACACAGAGGCAUAUCAGGCUUCUUUCCACCUGGAGGUUGUAGACAUCACCACUAACACAGAGGCAGACCCAGCAUCUUCCCACCUGGAGGUUGAGGACAUCACCACUAACACAGAGGCAGACCCAGCAUCUUCCCACCUGGAGGUUGAGGACAUCACCACUAACACAGAGGCAGACCCAGCAUCUUCCCACCUGGAGGUUGAGGACAUCACCACUAACACAGAGGCAGACCCAGCAUCUUCCCACCUGGAGGUUGAGGACAUCACCACUAACACAGAGGCAGACCCAGCAUCUUCCCACCUGGAGGUUGUAGACAUCACCCGUAAGACAGAGGCAGACCCGGCAUCUUCCCACCUGGAGGUUGAGGACAUCACCACUAACACAGAGGCAGACCCAGCAUCUUCCCACCUGGAGGUUGAGGACAUCACCACUAACACAGAGGCAGAUCAGGCUUCUUCCCACCUGGAGGUUGUGGACAUCACCCGUAAAACAGAGGCAGACCCGGCAUCUUCCCACCUGGAGGUUGAGGACAUCACCACUAACACAGAGGCAGACCCAGCAUCUUACCACCUGGAGGUUGAGGACAUCACCACUAACACAGAGGCAGAUCAGGCUUCUUCCCACCUGGAGGUUGUGGACAUCACCCGUAAAACAGAGGCAGACCCGGCAUCUUCCCACCUGGAGGUUGUGGACAUCACCCGUAAAACAGAGGCAGACCCGGCAUCUUCCCACCUGGAGGUUGUGGACAUCACCCGUAAGACAGAGGCAGAUCUGCCUUCUUCGCACCUGAAUGUUGUGGACAUCACCAGUAACACAGAGGCAGACCCAGGUUCUUCCCAUCUGAAUGUUGUGGACAUCACCUCUAAUACAGAGGCAGACCCGGCUUCUUCCCACCUGAAUGUUGUGGACAUAACCCCUAAUACAGAGGCAGAGCCCAUCUCUUCCCUCUUGGAGGUUGUGGACGUCACACCUGAAGAAAGGACUCUCACGAUGGCCAUCUCCGCCACUCUGCCAGCUGACAUCCAAGCAGAGGAUGUUGCUGUGGUCACCCCACACGUCACCAAGGACGUGACACUGGAUGUUCCAUGCAGAGCUAGGAAAGGGGCAGUCCGGCGAUUAUUUUGCAGGCUUUGGAGGGCAGUGUGCUGCUGUGCCUGCCACAAGGAAGAGGAGGAACAAUAUUAAUUAUUCAUCAGACCUUCAGAAAUGGGAUUGAACCAUAGACCAUUAAAUUAUACAAUUAUAAUUGGACUCAAUUC